rnacentral:pre_miRNA from 1 species
UGAUGAUGAUGAUGAUGAUGAUGAUGAUGAUGAUGAUGAUAAUAGUAUUAAUAAUAAAAAUAUCAUCAUCAUCAUCAUCAUCAUCAACAACAACA